AUGGUUUGUAGAAUCCAGAUUGGACAAAUCAAAGAAUGGGUGGGAGUUGAGGAAAUGGAGGCACUUUCACCUUUUGAGAAGUUUGACUGUGAAGGGAAGAUUGGUAAUUAUAAUUUUACAGAUAUCCAUCUUCCUUUUGGUAGAUUUUCAAGCUGUGUUACUGAGGUGCAGCUGAACCGUACCAGCAGCCACCAUGAACAGCAACGGCAAUAUCCAAUGCAGCCAACCUGCCCUGUGCAGCCUCCUGGGAACCCAGUGUACCCUCAGACCUUGCAUCUUCCUCAUGCUCCACCCUAUACUGAUGCUCCACCUGCCUACUCAGAGCUCUAUCGUCCGAGCUUUGUGCACCCAGGGACUGCCACAGUCCCCACCACGUCAGCUGCAUUUCCUGGUGCCUCACUGUAUCCUCCCAUAGCCCAAUCUGUGGCUGUUGGACCUUUAAGUUCCACAAUCCCUAUGGCUUAUUAUCCAGUUGAUCCCAUCUAUCCACCUGGUUCAGCAGUGCUGGUGGAAGGAGGGUAUAAUGCAAGUGCCAGAUUUGGAGCUGGGGCUACCGCUGGCAACAUUCCUUGUCCACCCCCUGGAUGCCCUCCCAAUGCUGCUCAGCUUGCAGUCAUGCAGGGAGCCAAUGUCCUCAUAACUCAGCGGAAGGGAAACUUCUUCAUGGGUGGCUCAGAUGGUGGCUACACCAUCUGGUGAAGAACCAAGGCCACCUCUGUGCCGGGAAAGACAUCACAUACCUUCAGCACUUCUCACAAUGUAACUGCUUUAGUCAUAUUAACUUGAAGUUGCAGUUUAGACACAUGUUGUUUGGGUGUCUUUCUGGUGCCCAAACUUUCAGUCACUUUUCAAACUUAAUAAGGAUCCAUGUAAUGGUAGCAG